rnacentral:rRNA from 1 species
GAUGAACGCUGGCGGCGUGCCUAAUACAUGCAAGUCGAGCGAACGGACGAGAAGCUUGCUUCUCUGAUGUUAGCGGCGGACGGGUGAGUAACACGUGGAUAACCUACCUAUAAGACUGGGAUAACUUCGGGAAACCGGAGCUAAUACCGGAUAAUAUUUUGAACCGCAUGGUUCAAAAGUGAAAGACGGUCUUGCUGUCACUUAUAGAUGGAUCCGCGCUGCAUUAGCUAGUUGGUAAGGUAACGGCUUACCAAGGCAACGAUGCAUAGCCGACCUGAGAGGGUGAUCAGCCACACUGGAACUGAGACACGGUCCAGACUCCUACGGGAGGCAGCAGUAGGGAAUCUUCCGCAAUGGGCGAAAGCCUGACCGAGCCACGCCGCGUGAGUGAUGAAGGUCUUCGGAUCGUAAAACCCUGUUAUUAGGGAAGAACAUAUGUAGAAGUAACUGUGGCCAUCUUGACGGUACCUAAACAGAAAGCCACGGCUAACUACGUG